rnacentral:rRNA from 1 species
GCUUAUACUCGACCGUCAGAGGCACGUGCGAUCGCUACGCGCGCGCGCACCCGUGCGCGCGCGUACGUUCACGAAGCCAUGACGAGUAGGAGGGUCGCGGCGGUGAGCGCAGAAGGGCUGGCCGCGAGGCCGUCUGGAGCCGCCGUCGGUGCAGAUCUUGGUGGUAGUAGCAAAUACUCCAGCGAGGCCCUGGAGGACUGACGUGGAGAAGGGUUUCGUGUGAACAGCCGUUGCACACGAGUCAGUCGAUCCUAAGCCCUAGGCGAAAGCCGAUGUCGAUGCGGUGUAGAUUUAUUAUUAUUUAUAUAUUAUAAACGACAAAACACCCGUCGGGCGAAAGGGAAUCCGGUUCCUAUUCCGGAACCUGGCAGCGGAACCGUUAAUAAGUCGGGC